rnacentral:rRNA from 1 species
ACGGGUGCGUAACGCGUGGGAAUCUGCCCUUGGGUUCGGAAUAACAGUUAGAAAUGACUGCUAAUACCGGAUGAUGUCUUCGGACCAAAGAUUUAUCGCCCAAGGAUGAGCCCGCGUAAGAUUAGCUAGUUGGUGGGGUAAUGGCCCACCAAGGCGGCGAUCUUUAGCUGGUCUGAGAGGAUGAUCAGCCACACUGGGACUGAGACACGGCCCAGACUCCUACGGGAGGCAGCAGUGGGGAAUAUUGGACAAUGGGCGAAAGCCUGAUCCAGCAAUGCCGCGUGAGUGAUGAAGGCCUUAGGGUUGUAAAGCUCUUUUACCAGGGAUGAUAAUGACAGUACCUGGAGAAUAAGCUCCGGCUAACUCCGUGCCAGCAGCCGCGGUAAUACGGAGGGAGCUAGCGUUGUUCGGAAUUACUGGGCGUAAAGCGUACGUAGGCGGUUACUCAAGUCAGAGGUGAAAGCCCGGGGCUCAACCCCGGAACUGCCUUUGAAACUAGGUAGCUAGAGUCUUGGAGAGGUUAGUGGAAUUCCGAGUGUAGAGGUGAAAUUCGUAGA